UACGGAGGGUGCAAGCGUUAUCCGGAUUCACUGGGUUUAAAGGGUGCGUAGGAGGGCAGGUAAGUCAGUGGUGAAAUCCCCGAGCUUAACUUGGGAACUGCCGUUGAUACUAUCUGUCUUGAAUAUCGUGGAGGUGAGCGGAAUAUGUCAUGUAGCGGUGAAAUGCUUAGAUAUGACAUAGAACACCAAUUGCGAAGGCAGCUCGCUACACGAAUAUUGACUCUGAGGCACGAAAGCGUGGGGAUCAAAAAGG
rnacentral:rRNA from 1 species